UGUCACAUCUCCCAGACUGCAACAGAUAAAGAAAUACUGAGGCAUGCCAUCAAUCUGGCAUCCAACCGUAGAAGGGGUCGCAGAGCGCGCACUAAAGCUGCAGAGGAGGUUCUAAGAGGAGCUGCUGUAAGGCCUGGGUGUCGGAGUGUGAAGUCAAGCGCAGGAAACAGCAGUAUCUAGGUAACAGAGUGUCGGAGGUGGUGAAGAAGAGAUUGGUAGAUAUGCUCUUCAGCUGGACACUCUCUUUACCCGAUGAGGCUAAGAUCAGUGAAGCUUAUCAAAUGCUGAAGAAACAAGGUAUUGUCACUGUUGACCCGGAGGUUCCUCUGGAUAAGACACUGAUGCCGUCGCCCCCCUCCCGGCCCAAGAACCCUGUGUUUGAGAACGAGGAGAAGAGC